AACGAACGCUGGCGGCAUGCCUAACACAUGCAAGUCGAACGAGACCUCCGGGUCUAGUGGCGCAUGGGUGCGUAACGCGUGGGAACCUGCCCUUAGGUUCGGAAUAACUCCCCGAAAGGGGUGCUAAUACCGGAGAAUGUCUUCGGACCAAAGAUUUAUCGCCUUUGGAUGGGCCCGCGUUGUAUUAGCUAGUUGGUAUGGUAAAAGCCUACCAAGGCGACGAUCGAUAGCUGGUCUGAGAGGAUGAUCAGCCACACUGAGAGUGAGAAACGGUGCAGACUUUUGGGCGAGGGAGGAGUGGGGAAUAUAGGAAAGUCGCCGAAAGGAUGAACGAGCACUGCUGCGUGAGCGAUGAAGGCCUUAAAGUAGUAAAGCGCUUUUAUACGGGAUGAUAAUGACAGUACCGGAAGAAUAAGCACCGGCUAACUACGUG
rnacentral:rRNA from 1 species